GCUUGCUUCAGUGGGUGGUUGAGGAGGAUUGAACAAAGCAGGUUUAUUAUAUUAAAAAAAAAAAGGUGGGAGGGACUAAGGGAUGCCAGCACAGGAAGAAGAAGCAUCCAGGAGCUGUUCCCACCCCAGGCCAGAUGUGGAGGGAGCUGUAGCCGUCACUCUGUGCUCAGCUCGAGCUGCCGUGGUCAGAGCAGGACCACCGGAAAGGAGUGCUGGCUUCCUGGAAAGGAGCACCUCCACGGCUGCCUCGGCCAGGGAGGGAACUGGACACUAGCCUCAUGUUUCUCCAACCUCCAGCUGCCCCUCCCAGCUUCUGCUGUGACUGAAUCCACCUGGAGGCCAGAGGAUAGGGAAGCCCAUGGAUGCCGGCCAUAGAGGCCAGGGCCUUGGGGCACAGAGCCAGCGGAGGAUCUCGUAAGGAGGCCACUUGCAUUCAGAAUCUGUCAAAGGACCAUUUUCAAAGCAGAGCUUAAAGCGGCAUCACUAGCACGUCUCACACAACACAGAAGUCCUGGGGUCGAGGCCUGGGCGCAGUCUCUGCUCUCCGUGAAUUCAGUCAACGAGGCUUUGCCUGUCCUUGCCGGUGCCCUGGGGAGAUGCAGCGGAACGGGCUGCCUCUCCUCGUUCUGUGGGAGCUCACAACCGUGUUUGGCACACGCAGGUCAGCCAGGGUGAAGGGUGAAGUGUGAGCAGGAGGAGGAACAAGCCGAGGGCUGCAAGAGGAAGAAGAGGGCGGUCACUGAAAGGGCCACGGAGCUGUGCCCCAAGGUCCUGUUGGUUCUGAGUUCAGGCACUGCUGGCAGCCAGGAGGGCUCACAGCCCUGGGGCACAGGGGCGAGGUAGUGAUGCAACUGCCUGGCAGGUGCCUUGGGUGGAGACGAGUGCCCCCAUCUCAGUCAUCAUGACUUCUUUAUUCAUGAGCUCCAAAUAUUAUUUUCCUGGCCAACCACAACUCCUGGUCAGGCUGGGGGUGGUCAACUUUCUUUUGCCUCAUUUAAACGCACAGUGCUGCUCCUCAAGUCAAC
rnacentral:lncRNA from 10 species